UUUAAUCGAAGCAACGCGAAGUAACCUUACCAGGUCUUGACAUCCCGAUGCUAUUUCUAGAGAUAGAAAGUUACUUCGGUACAUCGGUGACAGGUGGUGCAUGGUUGUCGUCAGCUCGUGUCGUGAGAUGUUGGGUUAAGUCCCGCAACGAGCGCAACCCCUAUUGUUAAUUGCCAUCAUUCAGUUGGGCACUCUAGCGAGACUGCCGGUAGUAAACCGGAGGAAGGUGGGGAUGACGUCAAAUCAUCAUGCCCCUUAUGACCUGGGCUACACACGUGCUACAAUGGUUGGUACAACGAGUUGCGAGUCGGUGACGGCGAGCUAAUCUCUUAAAGCCAAUCUCAGUUCGGAUUGUAGGCUGCAACUCGCCUACAUGAAGUCGGAAUCGCUAGUAAUCGCGGAUCAGCACGCCGCGGUGAAUACGUUCCCGGGCCUU
rnacentral:rRNA from 1 species